rnacentral:tRNA from 1 species
CACCCUGUAGUUCAAUGGUAGAACACUAUACUUCUAAUGUAGUUAUUUGGGUUCGAAUCCUGAUAGGGUGU